CCUGCUGGGGUCUCCUUAACUGGGGGUUCCAGCGCUUCCGCGCACAACGUGCGCUUACGGACCGUCCGUGGACGUUACUGUGAACAAAACAGCGUGUUCAAAGCAAGUGGCUUGCUUGCCCUGCAUGUUAAAGCAUGGAAUAACAAGGCAUCGACCACUCGGCGGUGCUUUUGUUGGUCUUUCCCUCCCGGUGGRAAUGCGCAGGCGUGCACACUGCCGGCCUUCUGGCCGGUCUGGGUGCCGUCUCCUCGAGAUCAAUAGGGGCAAACGGGGAGAUACCUAUUGUGGGGAGAGCGGUGAAAUGCGAUGACCCCCAUAAGAGGAACUUCAGCGAAAGCAGUUCUCAAGACUGCCUUCGUUAAUCAAGAACGAGACUGUGGGGAUCAAAGAUGAUCAGAUACCGUCGUAGUCCACUAGCGUAAACGAUGCCGACUCAUCAUUGGGGGGCAUCUCUAACAAGCGCCCCCCAGUGGUUCUCCCCCCUGUAAGAGAAAUCUAAGUUUAUGGGCUCAGGGGGGAGUAUGGCUGCAAGGCUGAAACUUGAAGGAAUUGACGGAAUGAC
rnacentral:rRNA from 1 species